GACGAACCGUGCAAACGUUAUUCGGAAUCACUGGGCUUAAGGGCGCGUAGGCGGCUUGUCAAGUCAGGGGUGGAAUCUUUCGGCUUAACCGGAAAAGUGCCUCUGAUACUGGCAGGCUCGAGGGAGGCAGGGGCAUGUGGAACUUCCGGUGGAGCGGUGAAAUGCGUUGAUAUCGGAAGGAACGCCGGUGGCGAAAGCGACGUACUGGACCUCUUCUGACGCUGAGGCGCGAAAGCUAGGGGAGC
rnacentral:rRNA from 1 species